AUCUACGGCCAUACCACCCUGAACGUGCGCCGAUCUUGUCUGACUCUCGGAAGCUAAGCAGGGUCGGGCUGUGUUAGUACUUGGAUGGAGAACCACCUGGGACUACUGGAGUGCUGUAGGCU
rnacentral:rRNA from 1 species